rnacentral:lncRNA from 1 species
CUUCCACCUGCUAAUAGCAUCUUAUUGCUUUUCAGGAUUAAAUAAAAGGAAAUGAGCUGUUUAAUUACAGUCAGAGAAAUUUUGCAGUGUUGUUCUGCCUUGGAUGGUGACAGCAAUGCUGAAAUGUGUUUAAGGACACGGCUAUAUGAACUGAUGGCUUCAGAGCCCAAGUCAGCUGGAUUUUGAAGCAGCAGCGAUGCACCGUAGCCCCCAUGGAGAUGUCAAAAAGAAAAGUGAGAGAGAGCCGCCAAACUUCACAAAUUUGUGUUUUUCAUCAGUAGGUUCUCCUGCACAAAGACAAAACAGAAAGGUCUUAAAAGCAGUGCUGUCAGGAAGGAUGAUCUGGAAAAGAAAAUUGUCUUUCUCCAGCUUCAGUGGUGGGAGUUUCUGA